rnacentral:rRNA from 2 species
GAGUAACACGUAGGUAACCUGCCCAGAAGCGGGGGACAACAUUUGGAAACAGAUGCUAAUACCGCAUAACAACGUUGUUCGCAUGAACAACGCUUAAAACAUGGCUUCUCGCUAUCACUUCUGGAUGGACCUGCGGUGCAUUAGCUUGUUGGUGGGGUAACGGCCUACCAAGGCGAUGAUGCAUAGCCGAGUUGAGAGACUGAUCGGCCACAAUGGGACUGAGACACGGCCCAUACUCCUACGGGAGGCAGCAGUAGGGAAUCUUCCACAAUGGGCGCAAGCCUGAUGGAGCAACACCGCGUGAGUGAAGAAGGGUUUCGGCUCGUAAAGCUCUGUUGUUAAAGAAGAACACGUAUGAGAGUAACUGUUCAUACGUUGACGGUAUUUAACCAGAAAGUCACGGCUAACUACGUGCCAGCAGCCGCGGUAAUACGUAGGUGGCAAGCGUUAUCCGGAUUUAUUGGGCGUAAAGAGAGUGCAGGCGGUUUUCUAAGUCUGAUGUGAAAGCCUUCGGCUUAACCGGAGAAGUGCAUCGGAAACUGGAUAACUUGAGUGCAGAAGAGGGUAGUGGAACUCCAUGUGUAGCGGUGGAAUGCGUAGAUAUAUGGAAGAACACCCAGAUGGCGAAAGCGGCUACCUGGUCUGCAACUGACGCUGAGACUCGAAAGCAUGGGUAGCGAACACGAUUAGAUACCGUGGUAGUCCAUGCCGUAAACGAUGAGUGCUAGGUGUUGGAGGGUUUCCGCCCUUCAGUGCCGGAGAUAUCGCAUUAAGCACUCCGCCUGGGGAGUACGACCGCAAGGUUGAAACUCAAAGGAAUUGACGGGGGCCCGCACAAGCGGUGGAGCAUGUGGUUUAAUUUGAAGCUACGCGAAGAACCUUACCAGGUCUUGACAUCUUGCGCCAACCCUAGAGAUAGGGCGUUUCCUUCGGGAACGCAAUGACAGGUGGUGCAUGGUGGUCGUCAGCUCGUGUCGUGAGAUGUUGGGUUAAGUCCCGCAACGAGCGCAACCCUUGUUAUUAGUUGCCAGCAUUAAGUUGGGCACUCUAGUGAGACUGCCGGUGACAAACCGGAGGAAGGUGGGGACGACGUCAGAUCAUCAUGCCCCUUAUGACCUGGUCUACACACGUGCUACAAUGGACGGUACAACGAGUCGCGAACUCGCGAGGGCAAGCAAAUCUCUUAAAACCGUUCUCAGUUCGGAAUGCAGGCUGCAACUCGCCUGCACGAAGUCGGAAUCGCUUGUAAUCGCGG